rnacentral:rRNA from 1 species
CACGUAGGGGGCGAGCGUUGUCCGGAAUCAUUGGGCGUAAAGAGCUCGUAGGCGGCUCAGUAAGUCGGGUGUGAGACCCCCAGGCUCAACCUGGGGACGCCACCCGAUACUGCUGUGGCUAGAGUCCAGUAGGGGAGUGUGGAAUUCCCGGUGUAGCGGUGAAAUGCGCAGAUAUCGGGAGGAACACCAGCGGCGAAGGCGGCACUCUGGGCUGGAACUGACGCUGAGGAGCGAAAGCGUGGGUAGCAAAUAGG